rnacentral:misc_RNA from 1 species
AUGUGGGGGGUUGCAGGUCCGCCUCGGUGGUCUGCUCCUCUGAAAUGUAUUAGUGGGUUUGGUCCCCUAAUCUAUUGGUGUGAUAAUUAUCUACGCCGUGGGUUGGGAGAUGCUUGUGAACCUGCUUCUAACCGUCCCUUACAAGGACAAUCAUUGACAUUUUUGACCUCAAAUCAGGUAAGACUACCCGCUGAACUUAA